UCCACGCCCUAAACGAUGCGAACUGGAUGUUGGGUGCAACUAGGCACUCAGUAUCGAAGCUAACGCGUUAAGUUCGCCGCCUGGGGAGUACGGUCGCAAGACUGAAACUCAAAGGAAUUGACGGGGGCCCGCACAAGCGGUGGAGUAUGUGGUUUAAUUCGAUGCAACGCGCAGAACCUUACCUGGCCUUGACAUCCACGGAACUUUCCAGAGAUGGAUU
rnacentral:rRNA from 1 species